CAACGCCGCGUGCAGGAAGACGGCCUUCGGGUUGUAAACUGCUUUUCUGUGGGACGAGCAAGGACGGUACCACAGGAAGAAGCCCGGCUAACUACGUGC
rnacentral:rRNA from 1 species